UCUGGCUUAUAGCUCAGCGGUCCCACUAGAGUGCCCAACUUAAUGCUGGUAACUAGUGGCGAGGGUUGCGCUCGUUGCGGGACUUAACCCAACAUCUCACAACACGAGCUGACGACAGCCAUGCAGCACCUGUCUCCACGUCCCCGAAGGGAACCCCGACUUUCACCGGGUAGCGUGGGAUGUCAAGCCUAGGUAAGGUUUUUCGCGUAGCAUCGAAUUAAACCACACGCUCCGCUGCUUGUGCGGGCCCCCGUCAAUUCCUUUGAGUUUUAGCCUUGCGGCCGUAGCCCCCAGGCGGGGCACUUAUCGCGUUUGCUUCGGCACCGGGGGGGUCGAUACCCCCGACACCUAGUGCCCAUCGUUUACGGCGUGGACUAC
rnacentral:misc_RNA from 1 species